AACGAACGCUGGCGGCAUGCCUAACACAUGCAAGUCGAACGAGACCUUCGGGUCUAGUGGCGCACGGGUGCGUAACGCGUGGGAACCUGCCCUUAGGUUCGGAAUAACUCCCCGACAGGGGUGCUAAUACCGGAUAAUGUCUUCGGACCAAAGAUUUAUCGCCUUUGGAUGGGCCCGCGUUGGAUUAGCUAGUUGGUAGGGUAAAAGCCUACCAAGGCGACGAUCCAUAGCUGGUCUGAGAGAAUGAUCAGCCACACUGGGACUGAGACACGGCCCAGACUCCUACGGGAGGCAGCAGUGGGGAAUAUUGGACAAUGGGCGAAAGCCUGAUCCAGCAAUGCCGCGUGAGUGAUGAAGGCCUUAGGGUUGUAAAGCUCUUUUACCCGGGAUGAUAAUGACAGUACCGGGAGAAUAAGCUCCGGCUAACUCCGUG
rnacentral:rRNA from 1 species